AUGAUACUGGAGAAUAUGCUCUGCCAAAAUCGGAAAGUAAACCAAGUAGGAGGCAGACAUAGAAUAUCUUUAAAAAGAGCUCCAAUUUGAGGGAGAUGCAAAGAGAAUCUCUAAGAAGAUGACAAUCAGUGAUACCAGGGGCAUAGGUGCACAUCAGGUGGGAAGGUCAACCAAUCUAGACUGGGGCUUAUCUGAGGGUUCCAGGAGGAAAACUCUACUCAAGAUGAAAUUGACAUAUUACUUGAUACUUCUGAAUAUAUUAAGGCAAGUAUUCAUCUGUGAAUGGUGUUUACAUGAUCAUAACAUAAACACUGAAUACUGUUCUAAAAACAUGACAUCACUAUAUGUGGAAGAUGAAAUGAAUAGAAACUGA
rnacentral:lncRNA from 1 species